UUUAGGUGCACACCAAGUUCGUGCUCGGGGGCUAUGAAUGGAUUACCUUCAGAGAGUUCGGGGAUAUAGCGGAGAAGUUUGGAAGAGGACUCAGAGAAAUUGGAAUACAACCUAAGGCUCGGUUAGUUUUGUUCUCUGAAACUCGGACUGAGUGGCUACUUGCCACCUACGGGGGCUUUCAGGU